rnacentral:lncRNA from 1 species
UCUAAAACAUUCUUAUAAUUCUAAACUUAUCUAGAUAAAUCUAAUGGAUAAGCAUCCCUAGAUAUUUUUAUACAUCAUUCUAGAAUCCUUCUAGAUAGGAUAUUUCUAGAAUUCUAUUUUGGACCUUCUUUAGUUUUGGGCCUUCUCUAGUCUUGGGCUUUUAUCUUUUAGGCCCAAUUUACAUUUUAACUCUUUUUUCCUUGGAGCUUCUCCAUUCUUCUAGAAUUUGCAUUACACUUUAACAGACUGUGGUGGAGUUUUAGGGCUUCGCGUAUUGAUUCAAUGAGGGAACAAGAAUACCGUUGUUGUAGAUUCUGAUGACUCACGAUGAUUGAUACGAACACGAGGUGGUGGCUGGAAGGUGAAGAAGAUGGAGAUCUAAUGAAGAUGGCGCACUGAAUGACGACGUGAAGGAGAUGAUGGCCAACAAAGAUGAAGAGUCGAAGGGGAGAUGAAGAAAUGAACUCAAAACGCGCUAAGGAAGGCAGAUUAGGUUAAGCAAAAUAAGUGAAAAUAGUUUUUUAAAAAAAUAUUUAUAAUUUAACCGCGGAUUCAUGGAAACUGCCAAAACUUACCGGAGGUUUCCAAAACCGUCGGAAAUAAACCUCU